rnacentral:lncRNA from 1 species
CCCCAAAAAGGGUCAAAGGUCAGCCAAGGUCAGAGGUCACCCGAGGUCAAAGGUCACCCGGGGUCAGAGGUCACCCGAGGUCAAAGUUCGCCCGGGGUCAGAGGUCAUCCGGGGAGUCCUGGAAGCCCUGAAGCUCCCGCAGGCCCUCCAGCACCAGGCGGAUGUGGGCGCGGAUCUGAGCGCCGUCCCGCGUCAGGGAUUGGCUGAGCUUGUCCAACAUCCGGCUACGGCGGUCGAGGUGGCGGAGAGCUUCGGCAAGGGUCAGCUCUGCAUAGAAGCCAUAACCCAGAGCCACAAAGAGGCGUUGGGGGUCCGGCACUUCCGCAUUGACGUAGAAGUUGCAGCCCAAAUCCACCUGAGUGCGCAGUGGGGCGGAGGCGGCGUCCU